AGCAGCCGCGGUAAUUCCAGCUCCAAUAGCGUAUAUUAAAGUUGUUGCAGUUAAAAAGCUCGUAGUUGAAUUUCGGGAUCAAUAUGUCGGUCGUGCCUUCGGUACGUACUGGUAUCAUUGGUCUCUCCUUUCUGACGAACCAUGAUGUCAUUAAUUUGGUGUUAUGGGGAGUUAGGACUGUUACUUUGAAAAAAUUAGAGUGUUUAAAGCAGGCUUUAGCUUGAAUACAUUAGCAUGGAAUAAUGAAAUAGGACGUUCGAACCUAUUUUGUUGGUUUCUAGGAUCAACGUAAUGAUUAAUAGGGAUAGUUGGGGGCAUUAGUAUUCAAUUGUCAGAGGUGAAAUUCUUGGAUUUAUUGAAGACUAACUACUGCGAAAGCAUUUGCCAAGGAUGUUUUCAUUAAUCAAGAACGAAAGUUAGGGGAUUGAAGACGAUCAGAUACCGUCGUAGUCUUAACCAUAAACUAUGCCGACUAGGGAUCGGAUGAUGUUAAUUUUUUAAUGACUCA
rnacentral:rRNA from 1 species